UGGUGGAAAAUUUUAAAGGAGCUUUAUGGACCGGCUAUGAAACUUGUCUACUUCCAAGCCCAACCCAAGUUUGAAGCGGACCCCACAUAAAAGUGGGCCUUUACCUUUCGAGUGGAAUUAUAUUCAUAGUAUCCAGAGAUAGAGUACACAGUCGAUAUAAAAUCGAGAUCGAAUUACGACGACGGAGCGGGGCAAUAGCAAAUUGGCAAUGGCGUUGAUGAGGGGAGAGCCGCUGGUGACGAAGCUGGCAGUCUUGGCAAAGUACGUUGUUCUUCCUGGGGCCAUGGCCGCUGCUCUCAUCUACUCUCCUCCCCAUUACGGUUACUCCGACAAGUCCAAUAAAUCCAACAAAUAAAAGGCCCCCACAACCUCUCUUUCUAUUUCACUACAAGUUGGGGCCAUCUUGAUCACUUGGGCAUGCAUGUUUGUAAAAAUACACUAUUUUUAUGAAACCGGGGGUAUGUAAUAAAUUAAUAAUUUUCUGAUCAAUUUUUGAAUUUUUCUGUGGUUAUUCAGAGAGAUAAAAUGUGUGGCUCGUUUGGAAGAACUUGAGUAGUAACUUUCUUCUUUCUUUGACUUUGCCCUCAACUAAACUUUAUCCAAUCAAUGCAAGAUUGCCUCAAUCUUAAAA